UAUAUUUUUUUUUAUUAUUAUAAAUGUGCAUUAUAUUUAGUGAAUGAUAUAUAUUUUUUUAUUUUUUAUUUUUUUAUUUAUUUCUUGCUGUGUUCCAGACUGAGGGAUCCAAACCCAGACAAUAUAACCCAUAUUGCCCAUGGCUGUUCAAAAGAGAUCCUUUCAGCUCUUGACAAAUGGACAGAAAUCCAACAAAGGCAAAUCACAGAGGUCCCAGUCUUCAGGACAGAAUGGCCUGCUUUAUGCAAGUAUACAGCAAUAACUAAAUACAGCAAGACCUCUGACCUCACCCCUAAUGAUAGUGUAAUGAGAGAAGAGGGCUCAUUGAUGGAUCCAUGUAGAAGAUUUGGGGUUCUACAUGAACACCAUCCUGCCCAUCUGUCAGGUACCAAACUUUUCUUUUGUUUGUCUCACACAUGGCUCUAUUUACAUUUAACAAUUAUAUCUCAUGCACUACAACUUAAUAUUUUUCAACUCAGCAGCUAAAUAAACAGGACUUUAUACAUUUGUACAUUGUUCAUCAUGCAUCAUUUCACCUGUACUACAUAUACUGUAUAUACAGUACACACACACACACACACACACACACACACACACACACACACACACACACUAUAUAUAUACUAUAUUAUACACUUGCUAUAUACGCUAUCCAUACAGUCAUAAAUAUGCACAGUA
ensembl:lncRNA